CGCUAGCGACAGGCUUAACACAUGCAAGUCGAGGGCAGCGGAGACGAAGGCUUGCCUUCGUCAGCCGGCGACCGGCGCACGGGUGAGUAACACGUAUGCAACCUGGCCGUCACAGGAGGAUAACCGGGAGAAAUUCCGCCUAAUACUCCAUAACACACCGCAGGGACAUCCCUGAGGUGUCAAAGGAAGCGAUUCCGGUGACGGAUGGGCAUGCGGCGCAUUAGCUAGUCGGCGGGGUAACGGCCCACCGAGGCGACGAUGCGUAGGGGUUCUGAGAGGAAGGUCCCCCACACUGGAACUGAGACACGGUCCAGACUCCUACGGGAGGCAGCAGUGAGGAAUAUUGGUCAAUGGGCGGAAGCCUGAACCAGCCAAGUCGCGUGAGGGAAUAAGGCCCUAUGGGUCGUAAACCUCUUUUGUCGGGGAGCAAAGGCGUCCACGUGUGGACGCAAGGAGAGUACCCGAAGAAAAAGCAUCGGCUAACUCCGUG
rnacentral:rRNA from 1 species